CGAAAGCAAGAUUAAUACCUGAUGGUCUCAGUUGUAUGCAUGUAUAAUUGAGUAAAGCCUUCGGGCGGUGAUGGAUGGCGGUGCGUCCCAUUGGAAGUUGGCGGGGUAACGGCCCACCAAUCCUUCGAUGGGUAGGGGUUCUGAGAGGAAGGUCCCCCACAUUGGAACUGAGAUACGGUCCAAACUCCUACGGGAGGCAGCAGUGAGGAAUAUUGGUCAAUGGGCGGGAGCCUGAACCAGCCAAGUAGCGUGCGGGAUGAAGGCCCUUGUGGUCGUAAACCGCUUUUAUCAGUGAAUAAAGUGCAU
rnacentral:rRNA from 1 species